UUUUACUUAACAGUUUUAGUUGAGGUAACAUUAUUUGAUUUUUUUAAGUUAAAUUUAUUAACUAAUUAAUAGCUAUUAAUUUCAAUUGAAUUUUUUAUUGUGAUUAAAAAAGUUUUUAGCUAUAAUUUCUUUUUUGUUUCAAUUUUAUUGUUUUAGAUAUUUUUCGUUUGGGAAAAAAUAUUCAAUAAUUGAUAUUUUGUUAUUUUAAGUUAAUUUAAAUUGAAUUUUUUAAUAAAGCUAUUAAUUUCAAUUGAAUUUUUUAAUAUGUUUAAAUAAAUUUUUAGUUAAUAUUAUUUUAAGAUUAUUUUUUAUUGUUGAAAAAAUUAAAAAUAAAUUGUUUUUAACAAAAAUUAAAAUUUAUAAUAUUUCAUUUUUUGGUUUUUUGUUUUAAAUUAAAAUAAUAAAUAUGGGGGAAAAAAAAAUUUUGUUAUAAAUUAUAUUAGUUUAUUUUAAUUAAAAAUAUUUUUUAUUAAAUUUGUUUUUUUUAUUUUUUUAUAAAAAAUAUUAAUUUAAUUAUUAUUAUUGAGUUUAAUUUAGUUAUUUUUAAAAAAAUUUUGUAUAAAAUAAAUUUGAUAAUAAAUGUUUUUUAAAUUCUUUGGGGGUUUAGUUUAUGAUUUUUUGUUUCUGCUCAUUGUUAAAUAAAAGCACUUUUAGCGUGAUUGGUCAAAGGUA
rnacentral:rRNA from 1 species